AACGGCCGUACCAUGCUGAAUAUACCGGUUCUCGUUAGAUCACCGAAGUCAAGCAUCAUUGGGCGCGGUCGUUGGGUGGGGGCCACCUGGGAACACCGCGUGCCGUU